GACAGAGGUGCCGAGCGUUAGGCGGAAUCACUGGGCUUAAAGCGUGUGUAGGCGGGCGAUCAAGUACCUUGUGAAAUCCCCACGGCUCAACCGUGGAACCGCUGGGUAUACUGGUUGUCUUGAGCCGGCUAGGGGCGAGCGGAACAGACGGUGGAGCGGUGAAAUGCGUAGAUAUCGUCUGGAACGCCGAAGGUGAAAACAGCUCGCUGGGGCCGCGCUGACGCUGAGACACGAAAGCCAGGGGGAGCGAACGGG
rnacentral:rRNA from 1 species